UACGUAGGGGGCUAGCGUUGUCCGGAAUCAUUGGGCGUAAAGCGCGCGUAGGCGGUUUGGUAAGUCGGGUGUGAAAACACGAGGCUCAACCCCGGGCGUGCAUCCGAUACUGCCGGACUAGAGGUAGGUAGGGGAGAUCGGAAUUCCUGGUGUAGCGGUGAAAUGCGCAGAUAUCAGGAGGAACACCGGUGGCGAAGGCGGAUCUCUGGGCCUUACCUGACGCUCAGGCGCGAAAGCUAGGGGAGCGAACAGG
rnacentral:rRNA from 1 species